rnacentral:tRNA from 1 species
AAGAUUUUAAGUUAAAUUAAACUAAGGAUCUUCAAAAUCCUAAAUGGGGUUACUCAAAUCUUG